UAUAGAGGUCUCAAGCGUUGUUCAGAUUCAUUGGGCGUAAAGGGUGCGUAGGUGGUUGGGUAAGUCAAAUGUGAAAUCCCGGAGCUCAACUCCGGAACUGCAUUCGAUACUGCCCGGCUCGAGGAUUGGAGAGGAGAUUGGAAUUCAGGGUGUAGCAGUGAAAUGCGUAGAGAUCGUGAGGAACACCCGUGGCGAAGGCGGGUCUCUGGACAAUUCCUGACACUGAGGCACGAAGGCCAGGGGAGCAAACGUG
rnacentral:rRNA from 1 species